UACGGAGGGUGCAAACGUUGCUCGGAAUCAUUGGGCGUAAAGCGCACGUAGGCGGCCCGUUAAGUCGGGUGUGAAAGCCCUGGGCUCAACCCAGGAAGUGCACUCGAAACUGGCGGGCUUGAAUAUGGAAGAGGAUCGCGGAAUUCCCGGUGUAGAGGUGAAAUUCGUAGAUAUCGGGAGGAACACCAGUGGCGAAGGCGGCGACCUGGGCCAAUAUUGACGCUGAGGUGCGAAAGCGUGGGGAGCAAACAGG
rnacentral:rRNA from 1 species